AAAUUAUAACUUACUAUGGGACCACUCACGUUUUUCAUUUCUGUUUGUGAAUUUCGGUACAUCUACAUUUCAAAGAAUUUUCACAGUUCAUUAUCUUAUGAAAUUUUUGGUCACAGGGUUCAUACCAUUCCCUUGUUAUCUUGUCCAUGGAGACCGUCCUGGUGUCACCAUUCCAUUAACAAUAUUAGUAAUUUGCACCUUGUUUUCUGGUUGGUCCUGACAAGAAGUUCACGAAUUUUGUUGCUGUUUUCAAAGACCCCAAUUUUAGUUUUGUCAGUUUUCACUGCAGUUGUAUAUUUUUCCGUUCCACGGACUUGUACAUCUGAGUUUCACUAUUUAUUUUCUUCACCUUGCUUGAAGUGUUUAAAUUGCUUUUCUUCCUCUGAUUUCCUAGGGUGAAAGCGUAGCUCCUUCAUCUUGGUUCUUCUUUCCAAAAAUAUGUAGUCAUUAAUAUAAGUUGGCAGGAUACAUGUUCACUUGAGUUUGAAAUAUUUUUCAUUUGAGAUUUAUAAACGUGUUAUUUUGAGGUGUGUUGAUUGUUCUCCAAGUGUUUGGGACUUUCAGCUGCUUCUUACUGACUUCCCAUGUAGUUCCUGUGUGAUCUGAGAUCUUACGCCGUGUGCUGCCUCUUCUUAUGACUGAGGUCUGCUCUACACCCACGAACGUGGUGAGUGGACGUGCUGCGUGGGUCUGAGAAGAGUGUGUAUUCUGUUGUCGUGGAUGGAGCACCCUCUAAGGAUCCGUUUGACACCUGGUCGAUGUAGGCGCUUUUCUGUUCGGCUCCAUCCUUACUGAUUGUCUAAAUGCUGACCUGUUAACGAAAGAGAUGUCUGGACAUCUGUGGGUGUCAUAGUGGAUUUGUUUAUUUUUGUUUGUAGUUUUAACAAUUGUUGCUUAUGUAUUGUGGCAUGAGGUUUAUUUUUGGACUCACUAUCUUAAUCCAUUGAAAUGUGACCUUCUAUUCUUUCAUGAAUCCCAAACGGUCUUGGUUGUUGUAGGUUUAUUGUAAGUCUUAAAUACAGUAUUGGCAUUUCACCCAGUUCCUGUUUUUCAUGAUGGACCUGAUAGUCGAUUGUCGUGGGUUUUCCUAAUUACAGAAAGUUUUGUGGAUUUCUCAAAAACCUCGUGCUGGGAUUUUUAUUUAGAUUGUGUAAACCUAUAGGACCAUUUUAGGAGAAAUGGUAUGUUAAUAAUAUUCAGUCUUCUAAUCUUACACACAGCGUAUUUAUGCAGAUCUUCUUUCAUUUCCUUCAUCAGCAUUUUAGUGUUCAGCCAACAUAUUUUGUAUUUUAUUCAUGGAGUUUAUGAGUUUUCAUUUUAUUUUGCUAUUUUAAUUUUUAUAUCAGUGUCUGCUCAUUCAUGGAUGGUAGUAUACAAUGGAUUUUCUAAUAAGUGAUUUUUCUUAGAUGAUUUUAUUUAUUUGAAAGGCAGAGGUAGAGGCAGAGGGAAAGAGAGACAGAGACAGGUCUUCCAUCUGCUGAUUCACUCCCCAGAUGGCUGAGAUGGCCACUGCUGAGCCCAUCAGAAACCAGGAACCAGGAACUUCUUCCAGGUCUGGCAGGCAGGUGCAGGGGCCCAGGGACAUGGGCCAUCUUCCACUGCUUUCCCAGGCCACAGAGAACAGGAUUGGAAGUGGAGCAGCCAGGACUCGAGCUGGUGCCCAUGUUGUGUGCCAACACUGCAGGUGGCGCCUUUACCCGAUGUGCCCCCGCGCUGGCCCUCCUGUUGAUAUUUUUACAUUGCCCUUCUUCCCCUGAUGGUCUUGCUAAAAUAAUUUAUUAUUCCUGGUAGCUUUUGAGAAAAUGGUUUUGGAACUAUUUGUAGAUAAUCAUGUCUUCAGGAAAUCCAGAGUUUACCAUCUCCCCUUCAGCUCUGUAUUAUUUCCUUGUGUUUUUCUUGCCUUAAUACACUAAGUGGGCUCACUGCUGUGAUGUCAGGUAGGAGCAGUGACAGCAGAUGUCCUCAGCUUUUAUGUGAGCCUUGGGGAAACUCUUCUCUCCACUGUCUCUCACCAUUUAAGUGUGAUGCUUGCCGUAGAUUUUUAUUUGUUUUGUUGGAUCAGCAUUGGGCUAAUUUCUUGACAUCUUUCAUAUUUUUCUUCUUUAGCCACUCACAUAUGAAUUACAUGCAUGGGUUUUUCUAGGAUUAAAUGCACUUCCAUUUGUGAGAGAAACCUCAAUUUUUCAUGAUACAUUAAAGUGUUACUAGAUUUUAUUUGACUGUAUUUGGAGGAUUUGGAGAGUUCUCUGUUUAUGAGAGACAUUAGUGCAUAGUUUCUUUCCUGUAAUAUAUUUUUCUGAUUUUGUUAUUAAAGUACCUCAGGUUACAUAAGAUGAGUAUUCCAUCUUGUAUAUCUGGAAGUGUAUGGGUAGAAUGUAUCAGUGAAGUCGUAUUGGCUAGGAGGGCUUUUCAUUUUCUUUGUCGGAGGAUUUAUGACUGGAUUCAAUGUCUUGAGUAGGUACAGGAGGAUACUUCAGAACGUCACAGGGAAUGAAGUGGAAAGCUUAUUGUGGAGCAGAAGUUCGUGUCAAGAGGCCAGCAGAAAUGUCCUCCCAGGCUGAGGAGAGGAGGAUGUGGAGUGACCCCGUGGGAACGUGUGCCUGGGACAGAGCUCCACCGGCCCCACCACAGCUGGAGCAGGCUGAAGCCAAUAGUGGGAGCCAGAAGUAGAAUCCAGGUGUCCUCCAAAGUAGCAGGAACUCAGUCAUUUGAGCCAUCACCAGUGCCCCCCAGGGCCUGCAUGAACAGGAACCGGAAGUCAGGAGCCUGAGUCGGUGUCAGACCCUGUGCUGCAGUCUGGGAUGCAGGCAUCCAAACUGGUGUUGAUGUGUGCUUCACAGGCACGGAGGUGGUCAGCAUGAACGUCUGUGUGGGCCUGAGAGAGUGUAGAGCCUGCUGCUGUGGGAUGGAGCAUCCUCUCCGUGCCCAGUAGAUGCACAGGUGAUUGAUGGCACGGGAACCCCAGAAGACAGUGUCAUCUCUGCACUUCAUCUUUCUGGAGACGUGGCUGUCAGGGACUUCUGUGACCUCCGUGUUCCAGCCGGCUGCUUCCCAUUGGUGCUCCAUGGAAGCCACCGGGCCCAGCUGCUCUCAGGUCCAUGGUCGGCUGCUACCUCUGCCUGAGCCUCGGGCUCUGGGCUGAAGCAGCGUGCGAAGUGGAAAAUCGUGGACUUGUUUCUCUGAUCCAGCAUAGAGACCUUUUAAGGUGAGUGAGGAAGACUUCUAGUUUCCGUUUGUGAUUCCUCCCUGUCAGCCUGUGCCAUGCCAUUCUUCUUUGCAUAUUGCUCUUUGAUUCUGCUGCUGUGCUGGGCAUGCUGGGAGUUCUACCACUGCUGUGGAUUGCUUAGCACUUUUCUGAAUGUGAGCUCACGCUAGGGGAGAACAGGGGUGAUUCUGCCUCUCCCAGGAUGGUUGCUUUUCACUUCCUUUUUUGCCUGCAGUGGCACUGCUGAAGACCAUUUUUUUGUUUCUAAUGUUUUUUAAAGAUUGAUUUAUUUGUGUGGGGAGCAACCCGGACUAGACUAAGUUACUGGAAUUAAGACUUAUUCUAUGCAUCUGCUCUCCCACAAUAUGGCGCUGAGAAGGGAGAAACAGCUUCUACACAGCUGCCUCCAGUUCAACCAAAAUACUGUAGGAACUGCUCCUGAUUGGAGGAGAGCAGCGUACUCGGUGUGUGGGCAGCAGAGUUGGGAUUGGUGGAAGAGGACUAUAAAGGAGGAGAGAGACAACAUGCACCAGGAACAUCUAUCUGAAGGAACACCUGUGCAGCCCCCGAGAGAGCCGGCCGGCGGUGUGCUGCUCCCCCGUGGAAGUGGGGAAUGUGGCAGGGGGAACUGCCCUUCCACGGAGGUGGAAGGGACGGCAGCCAACCCGGGAAGAACCAGCAGCAAACCCGGGAAGGGCCGAGCAGAGAAAAGAACAACGCAGGGUCCUGUGUCAUUCCUCCAGGAAGAGGGGGAGCGACAAUUUGAAAGGCAGAGUUAAGACAGACAGAGUUCUUCUAUCCACUGGUUCAUUCCAAAUGGCCACAGUGGCUACUGGGACGGUCAAAGCCAGGAGCUUCAUGGAGGUCUCACACAUAGGGCAGGGCCCUAAAUACUUGGGCCAUCCUCUGCUGUUUCCCAGGCACAGUAGCCGGGAGCCGCAUCAGAAGUGGAGCACUUGGACUCAAACCCUUGCCCGCCUGGUAUGCAGCCGCCGCAAGCAGCGGCUUUACCUCCUAUGCCACACGCACAGGCCCUGGGACUAAGUUUUAAUAUUGGGAAAUGUGAUCUUCUAACAGUAUCUUUUAUUUUCAAAGCUGCUUUGCUCCUACUGGGUUCCUUACCUCUCUGUAUGAAUUUUGGCAUCCGUACAUCAAGUUUGAAGAAAGGGCACUAGAGCUUGGAAGGAAUUGUGUGAUUUGUGUAGGGAAUUCGGGGAGUAUUGUUAUAUUAACAGCACUACAGCAUGUUGAUCAGAAGUAACAAGAGCAAAACCGUUAGUCUUCUUCCUGAUCUAGGAAGAGCGAUUCCUGUUUUCUUUUUUAAAUUUCUGCACCCCAGAGUCUUUUAGAUUUUCAUAGAAAAUGUACUGAAUAUUUUGAAUUCUUUGAAUAUCAUUCACCUAGUAAUGUUAUUAUCAAUUUGCUUUUUUAAAAUAGGUAUUUAUUUGAAAGAGAGAGGGAGUGAGGGAGGGAGAGAGACAGAGAGAGAGAGAGAGGGAGAGGUCCUCCAUCUGCUGGUCCACUCCAUAAGUAGCUGCAACAGUCAAAGCCAGACCAAUCCGAAGUCAGGAGCCAGGAGCCUCCCCAGGUCCCCCACAGGAAUACAAGGACCCAAGCACCCGAGACAUCCUCCACUGCUCUCCAGGGCAAGGAGGGAGCUGGAUUGGAAGCAGAAUAGCCAAGACUGGAACCGGUGCCCACAUGGGAUGCUGGCACCACAGGCGGCAGCUUUACCCAUCAUGCCAGAAUGCUGGCCCCUAUUUGAUUUUAUGUUUUUAAGGUUAUUUGUGUAUUUGAAUUCAGAGCUACAGAUUGGAUUGUGUGUGUGUGUGUGUUCGUGUGUGUGUGCGUGUGCGUGUGUGUGAGAGAGAGAGAAACUGUCUUCCUACAUCCACUGGUAUACUGGUUUCCUCCCCAAAUAGUCACAUGGCCAGGCCUGGGCCAAGCUGAAACCUGAGGUCUGGAACUCCAUCUGGGCCCAGAGUCUUGGGCCAUUUUCUCCUGCUUUUCAGACAGAUUCCCAAGGAGCUGAAUCAGAAGUUGAGCAGCCAAGUCUCAUACCAGUGUCCGUAAGGGAUGCCAGCAUGGCAGACAGUGGCUUCACCUGCUGUGCCAUGAUCCCAGCCCCGAGACCAAUGAAUUUAAAAGAGAAGUUUAGGAUGGGCCCUGGCACAGCAGUUACAUCUUGGGAAGCCUGCAUCCAUGUCAGAGUGCCCAGGGUCAAUUCCCAGUUCUCCUCCUCUUCCACCUCCUUGGGAGUUUAUACCCUGGGGGGCAGCAGAUGGCUGGCUCUAGUACUGGAGUCACUGCCACCAAUCUGAGAGAUCUAGAUGGAGUUCCAGGUCCUGGCUUCGGCCUGACACAGCCCUGGUUAUUGCAGACACUGGAGAGUGAAGUGGAUGCAAGUCUGUGUGUGUGUGUGUGUGUGUGUGUGGUGAGCCUUUCAGAUGAAAAGCAGUAAUGAAAUAGAGAGAUAAGUUUAUUUGGUAUGAAAAAUUUUGAAUUCCAUGCACAGGUGUUCAUUUCUUUAUUUUUUUUUAAGUUUCACUUAGUUAUUUGGAAGGCAGAGUCUUUAUCUGCUGGAUCCCUCUCAAAUGGCCGCACAAGUCUUCCAGGUCCCAUGUGGGUGCAGGGGCCCAAGCCCUUGGGCCAUCUCUCACUGCUUUCCCAGGCCAUUAGCAGGGAGCUGGAUCAGAAGUGGAGCCCUGGGACUCAAACUGGUGCCCAUAGGGGAUGUAGGCGCCCCAGGUGGAGCCUGAACCUACUACCCCCACGCCAGCCCCUGCAGUGCCACUGCCUCCUCCUCCCUCGUGGGCCCCACUGGCUUCCGGGAAGUGGCCCUGGGAACUUCCGGUUUCUCCCCUUUCAGGACAGGCUGCCCGGGUGGGUGGAGGCAGCCAUUGUGUGUGCUGGGUCUCAGCGCAGGCCACAGCGCCCUCACCACACCGAGGCCACUGGCUUCCUGGGUGCUCCAUGGGAACUGCAGGGGGCAUCGUGGGUGGAGCAGGGCGCUGGGCGGCGGCUCCCACGGGUGAGCCUAGUGCUCUAGGCCCGAGGCGGCGUUGAAGCAAAGGCCUUCGCGGGCCUCUGUCCAGCAAGCACAACGGGGCUCCCUGUGGUGAGUGAGGGGGGCAUCCCGGGUUCCUGCUGGGGGCUUCCCUGCUGGCUUGGGCCAGGCCUCUGCACCUUGCCUGUUGCUCUGGGGUCCUGCAGGGAGCAGGGCAUGGGUGGAGUCGCGGUGGUGCUGUGCGGACCCUUGUACUUUGCCCAGUGUGCGAGCAGCUGUGGAGAGCAGAGGUGGCUCUGCCUGCUCCCAGAACGGCCCGUGUUCCCCUUUGUGUCCUUGUUGAUGGCCCAGCCACCCUGCUCUAGACCUCUGAGCCCCCUGACCCAGGAGUAGGAGCGAACAUGCUUGUCUGUUUCCUGGGCUCCGAGGACGGUUUCUGGUUACUGCAUUCGGUGUGAUGCUGUGCUGUGUGCGUUUUUCAUGACAGACCAUUGUCCGGCCAAGGUUGGCCUUCGUUCCUAAUUAGAUGAUUUCUUUACUAUCUCAAGGUAACUAAGUUUUGUGAAAUAGGUUUUCUCUGUCUAUAGGGGUGCUUUGUGGGCUUUUCCCAUGUUGAUUCUGUUCUAUGAUACAUUGAUUUUCAUAUGGAAGCCAUCCUUGCAUUCCUGGAGUAACUCCCAGUUGCACAGAGUAUGCAAACCUUUUUUGUACUCCUGGAUAGGGUUUGGUAAUCUUUUGUUGAGGAAUGGGAUAUAUUCAUAAUGGAUAUUUGUGUGCCAUUUUCUUUAUGAUCUGUUUGUGUUGGAUUUUGGGCUAAUGGUGGUCUGUUGGAAUAAAAUGGAAUGUUUUUCCUCUUCAUCUCUUUUUGGAAGGGUUUGCGAAUCAAGGACUUUAAUUAUCCUUUAAAUGGGAGUUUUCUCCUGUGGAACCAUCUGGACCUGGACUUUUCUUCAUGUUUUUUUUUUUAAAUUUUUUUCCUGCUACAGCAAUCUCUUUCCAAAUUAUAAGUAUAUUCAGACAAGCGAAUGGAAGACCUCUCUCUGUCCCUACCUCUCUCUGUAACUCUGUUUUUAAAAUAAAUGAAAAAAAGAAAGAGUAAGUAUAUUCAGAGUUUCUAGUUUUACUGGAGUUUUUUAGCGGUUUGUUUCUUUCUGAGAAUCAAUCCAUUGUAUCUACGUUGAACCAAUUUUUUUUGAAGAUUUAUUUGAAAGAGUUACAGAGAGAGGUCGAGACAGAGGUCUUCCAACCACUGGUUCUCUCUCCAGAUGGCCCUAAUGGCCGGAGCUGUUCCAGUCAAGAUCCAGGAGUUUCUUCCGGGUCUCCCACAUGGGUGCAGGGGCCCAAGGACCUGGGCCAUCUUCUACUGAUAUCCCAGGCUAUAGCGGAGAGCUGUAAUGGAAGAGGAGCAGCUGGGACUAGCACCAGCACCCUCUAAUUUUUUAUUUCACCUUCAUUCAUGAAUUAGAGCUUUGCAAGGUUUAGUAUUCUGGGUUGACAACUUUUCUCUUAUGGCUUGGAAUAGAUCUCACCACUUUCUCCUAGCCCAUACUGGGUUUCUGAUGAGAAUUCAGAUGUGAUUAUAAUUGGAGAUCCUCUUAAUAUAGUCUGAUGUUUCUCUUGUGUACACUUUAGAAUCUUUGCUUUAUGUUUGACUGUGAAGAAUUUGACUGAAGUGUUUCAUGGUGAAGAUCUUUUCUGGUCAUGUUUAUUAGGAGUUCUAUGUGCUUGUGUUUGAGGGGAGAGACAUAUUCAGUUUUCUCAGAUGCAUUUGCUAUGUCUCUAAAGGCUUAUGUGUGUGUCCUUAUUCUGUUUAUUACAUUGAUUGCCCUGUCGUGUUUACCAUCCUUGCAUUCCUGGAAUUAUGCUCAGUUAAUCAGAGUGUGUAAACCUUUUAUUACGCUGGAUUCCGUUUGCUGAUAAUUUUUGUAUAUUUGCAGGUGAUGCUUGUUUGUAGUUUUCUGUAUGAUGUAGUCUUAUUUUCACAUCAGGCUCGUACUGGUGCCCUGACAUCAGAUGGCAGGUGCUUCUUCUUAUCUACUUUUGGAAGGGUUUCUGAAUUCUGGUUUUAAUCAUCCUUUACAUCUGUUGGUGGGUGCUCACGGCUGCUGCUCUCCCAGCCCUGACUCAGCCCCCUGGAGGGCACAGGUGAAUCUCAGGCAUUAGCUUCAGGGUGCUGUGCAGAUCUCUGCCUGGGGUGGGGGCUGUGGAGCCUCCAAAGCUCGUCAGAAACACAGAGAAGCCCUGCUGAAGCUGGGCUCUGGGGGUCACAAAACUGGAGCAGACAUGUUCCAAUCUAACACUUUAAUACAUAGGAACAAUUGAAUACACGUCAGCAUCAAGAAUAAAGGCCUAAAGGUUCUCCUUGAGGGUGGGGGUGGGAACAGUCCAGUAGCUAUAGGCACUAUGCUAUCACCUUCCAGCGAUGGAGGUGCCCACAGCAGUCCUGACACCCCUCUGUCCUGGCCCCAGGAAGAGGCGGGGGAGGGCCACUGGGUGGGUGGGGGCUCAAUCCAGCGUAGAGGACUCUGUGUAAAGAACGGCAGGCUGCUGUCCAGCCUGGGCAGGACACAUGGUGGGCAUGGCCUCUCUUCCAGGAGGCACCCAUCAUCCAGGUGCCCCAUGGAGUAGGAGGUAAGGAGGCCUCGGGCCAGGGAGGGCACCAGGCCUGGUCUCGCAGCACAGGGCUGGCUCUGGCCGGCUCCAGCCCGUGACUGUCCCCAGAGUGCGAGGGGCUGCCAUGCAGGUAGGGAGUCUUCAGCUGUGGCCCCCAGGCUGGGACGGCCUGCAUGGGCCCUGGUUCUGGGGGCUCCGAAGCCUGUGGAGGAGCCCACAUCCACAGGCCCUCCCGGCUGCCAGCAUCAGAAGAGUCGUCUUCCCUCUGUCCUGCCAGCUCAGGUUAGGGAAACUGGCACACUGGCACAGCCCUCCCCUCCCCCACAAGCUCUCUGGAGUCUCGGAAGGGUGGUAACACGUGGAGACUCUGCGCCCUCACAGCAGAACCUAAGGCCGAGGGGCUCUGGGCUGCCUUCUUCACAGUUCUCCUCCUCCUCCAUGUCUUUCCUCAGAGCCAUGUGGAGGCCAAACCUUGGUAGAGCCUGCUUCAUCUCUGGGUAGGAUACGAGACCCCUGGUCUGCUCCCAGUGCCUGCAUGUCCUCAGUGCUGAUCUUGGCCUUUGGAGCUGUGGGGGCAGGGAUGUGCUACUGGGAGACGCUUUGCAGGAUACGUCCUGCUUGGACCUGUCCCCUCGUUGCCUGCUUGGACCAGGCUCCUCAGAGCAGGGCCUGUCUUGUCUGCACAGCAGGGUCCCUCCUUUGUCUGCUGGGGCUGGGGGAGCUCAGCUCUGCUCAGGGCCACAUGAAACUAGGACAGGAGAGCCAGACACUGGGACAGGAGCUUCUGUGGGCAGAGAUCCCCAGGGGCUCUUACCCCUUCCAGAAAGCACUGAGUAAACCAGUGGGCCGUGAAGUCCCCGAGACACACAUCCUCCUCCUAAGAAGAGGCAGGGGGAGGUCAGGGCCCACGGAGCAGGCCUGACUCCCUCUAGUCUGAGCCCCCGGGUGCAGAAGCCCAGCACCAGGUUCACCCCCUCCCCCACAGACAUGCAGGUUCCUGAAGGGACACAGUUCCUAUCUCCCACUCUUCCCUGGGGACAGCAUCUCCCUUCAAUCUACGCAAACUCUGGAAGACCAAGUGCUAGAAAACAAACCAACACCCAAACUGAUGCAGACCCCAGUAACCAAGGAAGCCUUGGUGAGGACAUGGCCUCCCCUGGCCCAGGAAGGAGACAGGACCCCUUUCUGUCCUCCCCUCCAUGAGCACAGAGCGUCCGGGAGGAGACAAGAUGUUUUACUUACCAGGUGUUUCUGCAGGGAGGGGAGUGGGCGAUGCAUGAUAUGUUCAAGAUGUUGCUGCAGUCUUUCCAGUUUUGGGGAGUGCGGUUUGUAGAAACCUGAGGAGUAUCAGCCAUGCACCCCACACACAAACACACACACAUAGGAAGCUGGAGAACCAAAGACUGGGGUGGGGUGUUUCUGAGCACUGAGGGUCAGGGGCUGCACUAACAGAAGCAGGUGGAAAUGAACUUGGCCAUGGCAGAGCACCUGCAGAGGGCGGUGGGUGCAGGUGGGUGACUGUGUGCAGCCCAAGCAGGCUUCCCCCUGGAGACUGCUGGGGUGAGUGUAGGCAGACUGGGUGCCUCCUGACCAUUCAGACACAGAGCAAGGAUGGAUGACCCCACAGGGGAUGCUGCCUUCUGCAUGUUCCCUGGGUGUGGCUCUGUGCUUGAGAGGAAGCAAAGAGUUUGUGAGGCAGAAGGGACACUGGGGACCUGUGUCACGUGGGUUAGCACAGGACCCCUUGUUCUGAAGGUUCCAACACCCAGGAUGGCCGUGGCUAGGCUCCAAGGCCUUUGGAUGUUAGAGAAGUGGUCUGGUUCAGUCUAGGAUUCCUCAGUCAGUCCUGGCUUCUAGGAAGCCCCCCCACAGGGACAGUGUCCUGCACACUCAGGAGCCAGUGAGGGCCGUGCAUGGUCUUGCAUGCACUGGGCCCCACACGCCACCCACCUACUGUGCAUCCCGUGUUUGUGGUUCUCCAUGAACUGGAUCAGCACCUAGAAAAAAUUCCUCACUCAUCUAUGUCAGCAAGAGCACCGCCACAUGCCUCAGGUCCUGGCCGUAGCUCACCUCCUGCCAGAUCCCAGAAUGCCUCUAGCUGACCUCCCCUGGCAAAAUGAACUCUCCUGGGAUGGCCCACUUCUCAAGGAGAUCAGGGUCGCCCACUGAAGGGCCCAGGAAGAUUGAGGAAGCAGCCCCUCCGGCCUCCCCCUCAGCCUGAAUCCUGCCACUUGGUGUCGGCAUCCUAAGAAUUGGAGCCCACGUCUCAGUGUUCCUGGAGAAUCCUACAGGGCCUGAGCUCAUGCAGCACAGGGGGGAGACCAGAAGCAAGGACACCUUGUACCCCCAAGAUGUCAGGAUGGGCCAGGCUGCUGUAAGAAUCCAGGCUCCACACCCAUGGUAGCUGCUGGAUACGUGAGUGCCACAGGUGACCUGUUGGCCCUUUCUCACAUGAGGGAGAAGUAAGCCAGGAAGUGCACCAGGCCAGGGCCGGAACAGGGAAGUGUGCCUCUGUCAUGGGUGCAGGCUGGGCUUCCUGAGUGCCAGGCCCCAGGGCUCCAGGCAGAGUUGGUCAGUGGCAGGUCAGGGGGAUGGGGAUGCCCAGGCCUUGGAGGAUCACCCAUGGAGUCCUGCACCUGCUCCCCUCAUUGGAAAGGUCUGAGUGGGUGGUUGUGGCAGUGGCACGGUGUGGAGUGGGAUUCAGGCCCUUGGCACCUGCCGCAUGUCUGACAGGUGCAAAGGCAUCAGCGGGGCCCAGACUUGACUUUCAUAACCACUGCAAAGUCACACAGCUCAUGUCCACUCCCACCUGACUGGUGGGGCACUAGUCCUGGGAGGGGCAUCCCACCCCUGCCAAGCUCCUAGGGUUGGGAGAUCAUCAGAAGGCUGCCCUUCUGUUCACCGAAUUGAGUUCUAUCGAAGAAGGGCGUAACCCUGGCCUCUGCCUCUCUGUCUCUGAGUUGUGGAAUAGAGAGACUGCUCAGACCAGAAAGGGAUCUCUGUGAGCAGGACACCCUGCAGGGACUGCCAGGAUAGCACCUGUGAUAAGAUCCCAGAAGACUCAAGUGAUUAUGAACAGAAUAGGCCAUGAGCACUUGGAAUAAGGCGCGUUGGCUGGAAGAGAGAGGACAGAGGCUGUGCGUCCUGUGCUGCCGAGGCUCAGUGUGGCUCUGCCUAACAGAGCCUCACAGCCACACACAGGGCCUGUGACACUCUGCUCAUGAGCAGUGAUGUCGUCAGGGCACCUGCGUGUGGUCCACCGUGUGGGUGAGCGCUGCCUGCAAUGACAUGCACACAUCUCAGGGAUGCAGUUGUGUGCAGUUUCACUUCCCGAGCUGUGUGUUCAGAUUGCACAGGAGGGCGUCCACUGAGGCAGGUACCAUCCCGUGGGUCUCACUCCAUGGAGAGUCAGCCUCCCAUGCACCACUGCAGCCUCGUAGGGAGCAAUUCCGUCACCUAUGAGCUGCCCACGGGCCCUCAGUGACAAAACUUCCCAAACUCCCCCUCCUUAGGCCAAACUGUCCUCUUCUCUGUCCCAGGGCACGGCCUCUUGCAGAUGUCGUAUGAGUGGAUCACAGCACGUGUAGUCUUAGAGGGACGCUUCCUCUCAGCAGAAUGCACCCGAGAUGCAUCCGGGUCAGCCCAGGCCCGAGCCUUGUCCUGCCUCUCGCUGAAUCCCAUUUUAGGAUUCAGCAGUAACACAGGUAACACGCCUGCACCCAGCAUCCUCCGUGAUUUCAGAUCCCCAGUUCUCACAGCUGUGCAUGGUGCCCCACUGUGGUUCAGGUACUAAGCGUGUGUUCACGCGUUGAGGAGGUGAAUUGUGUGUGCUUUCAUGAAGGGGUCCUAUGAGCCCGUGUCCCCGGGGCGCCGGGAGGCUGUGCACUGCUUCCUCGUUAGUGAGUUGAAGGGCUCUCUGAAUGGUCUGGAAAUAAUACCUUCAUUAGAUAGAUUGCUAAUGCUGUCUCCUCUUGUGUGUGUUCAUUUCAUCCUCUCCCACAGUGUCUUUUGGAAAGUUUAUAUGAUAUAAAAAAGGCCCAUGGCCCCAUUUUUUUUUCCCAAAAGGGAUUUUUGCUCUAGGUUUGUAUGUGAGUCUCUCCUAGGAACCCCAGUUGUCCCAGGGACCCUUGCUCACCCCACCCCUGAGGCCCUGAGGCCCUGAGGCCCCGAGGCCUCACUUGAUUCCAUAUCGUUCUCUGAGCAUCAGGUGACUUCUUAAAGUCCCCGUAACAGUGGAGUGGAUCUGCUGGAAUUGGUUUGGGUACAGCCUGUCCUGUUCUUUCAUCUCCUGCAGGGCGGGGGCAAGGGGGAGGGGCCUGCCUCAGGAGCAGCAAAGCCCCAUUGCCACAAAUUUCUCCAAUCCACAGCAGCUCUUCUGGCUGACGUCCCCCCCAGUGCCCAGGAUCCCUGCAGAAGGGGCCACUGAGACCCCGAAUUGUCUGCAUGAGACAGGGGCUCUGAAGGUCCCUGUGCACUCCCCCUGCCUGCCCCCAGCACUUCUCAGCAGAGAAUCAGUCUGCACCCCAGCCAGGCUUCAGAUCCUCCUCCCUGCAUCUCAGGCCCUGCUACACCCAGACCAGUGGUGAAUGCUGCCCCCUGCGGGAGGGGCCCAUCAAUAGCAAGACAUUGGAAAGCGCCCUUGGGUUUGAGUUGCCCCUGGGCAAUGACUGUCCUCAGGCCCAGCUCCCAGGGCCAGCCCCAAUCUCAAGACUUCGGGGAGCACAGGGUUGGCCACACAGCUGGGCCCUGCUCCCUGAUGGCAGCCGGCGUCAUGAGAGCCAUCUGCAUUGCCAGAAGCAGCUGAGAGCUGAGUGUGACCGUUAGACAAGCCACUCCAGGCAAGGGCAAGGCCAGGGGGAGCAAGUCAGGUGAAAGCAGCGGCAGAUGUGGGAGGGCCUGUGAGCACGGAGCCUGUAGAGAGUCACUUCAACACACCAUUGUGAUCUCAAAUUGGGAGACGCCACCCAUCAAGGACCAGCAAUUCCUGUGUGCUGUUCUUGUGGCAAGCUGCCCAGCUGAGCUCAGCAGAGAGAAGGGCCAGUCCCCAGGCAGGGAGCCUAGAUGGCCCAGCUGGGUCUGGGGAGACGUGGAGAAGGCCCUGAGGAGGACCCGGGGAGAGGAAGGCAGGAUAGGGAGGAGGUUCCUGAGGGCCCAGUGACCAGACCACGGAGGCUCAGGCUCCUGACCAGGCCCGAGCAGGCCGGGCCCCCUUGGGCUGAGUGUAGAGCUGUACCUUUAUUUGCCCGGAUUCUCGGCCUUCUUGUUGUGGGUGACCAGCAUCAGGGCCCACACCUUCCCACGCACCUGGGCAGGGAUUCCUUUACAGCCUCUUCGAUGAAACUGCAGGAAAGAGGAGCCUCCAGUGAGUGGUGCACGUGGCCACUCGGGGAGGGAGAAGCCAGGGGCUCCGUGUGUAUUGGCAGAGGGAGGAUCUGCCCAGAUGGGGCCUUAUGACCCACAGUGACUGGGGGCCAAGGGCUCAGGGGCACUGGCUCUGGCAUGCACUGACUGCCCCCUACAGGGCUCCUGGAACCACACCUGCCCUGCAUCCGGGAUUGUCUUCAGCAGUGACUUCAGAUUUUCUACCAGGACAGUGUCCUGCGUGUAUGGGGAAGGGGUGCACAUGACCUGUGUCCCUGGGGGCUGGACAGUUGCCCCUGGGCAUCUGAGAGGCAGGCGGUGCCUGGCACGGGAAUGGGCACUGCUCAAACCCCAACUCAGCUCUCAGUGUUCCCGAGGGGCCCUCAGCUCCACGGUACCUUCUUGCUGCCGCGGUAUUUGCUAUGAUUCUUUAUCAUUUUCACCCACUUCUGGAUCCUGUGCACCUGUUUGUGCUGGAAAACAAGACAGGAUGGUGUGAGCCCAGCUUCAGGCUCUGAGAGUGGCCCUCAGAUGGAGCUCCGGAGCUCUGUGUGCACUCAAAGGAAGGAACCAGAAAAGACACAGACCGUGAGCCCCAGGUCUUCUGUCUGGGGAGCGUCGGUGGCCUGGCCUCUGACCCAAGCUGCCCCUGCCUCAAGGCAGAGCCCCUGAGCUCCAGCCAGGUCACUCCCAACCAUGCCAAUGAGUCAUGGCGGCCGACAGGCAGAUGCCCCUGAGCUGUGGCUCAGUUCUGGGACAGGUGAGUGUGUUCAGGUGUCAGCAGGUGCCGUGUAAGUACUGCAUCGCAGGACCUUAUGGCGUUCCCAGUAACCACUGCUGAGCCCCACAUGCCCCCUCCACCCAGCUCUGCUUCCCAGAUGACUGGCCCAUGGCCAAGGGCUUGUCUUUACCUUUGCCCCCGGGGUGCUGUCUUGGGGUAUCUUCUGCUCACUGGAAAGCAAGGGAAGCGGAGAGGUGUGGACAGGUUCCUGAUCAGACACUUCUGCCUCCCUAGUGGGCCAGGGAGGAACCAGUUUCAUUAUCUGUGGGUGAUUGUAUGCCUAGCUUUUGGAUUGUCUGCCUAGCUUGUGCAGGAGGUUAGCCAGACUGCUGGCAGGUGGCAGGAGCCACAGGCACAUUUCCCCGCCCCUGCUGCCUGGUAUAGGGCCCUGUCAUUGCCCAUCAGGGAAACUGCUCCCGGGUGUGGCCCUGGCCCAUGAAGAAGGCUCUAGCCUAUGUGACCUUCACACUGAUUGGAGGAGCCUAGCAGAGCCAACAUCGGCUCUAGCCUAUCAAUUAGUGUUGCCCUGAACUAGCUAUGCCCUUUCUGCUUGCACUUUAAGAGGUGUGCUUGAUCAUUAAUAAAACGGGCAUGGUCGCCAAUCUUGUCUCUGGUGCUUGUGGAAGAACGCUGUUGCCCCACCAUCCCACAGUGUGUGGCCUCACAGGACAAGCCCGCAGCUGGUGCCCAAACAGGGACCUCAACGUAUACGGUGAGCGAGGGUGGGGCCCUCCCUGCUAGAUGAGGAGGCAUCGUCUGUGGUCAGGCCCCCAGUCCCUCUCUGCUAGUUGAAGAGGGUACACUCAUCCCAUUCUAGGGCCCCUCACCGUGUACCAGCCCCAGGCCCCCUCUGCUAGGAGAGAGGUAAUACCGUCCCAUUCUAGGGAGGUCUGCCCACAUGUUCUAACGUUGCUUAUCUGUCCAUCUUUCACCCUGUCCAUUAUCUGUGCUCCAUGCUGGGAUCGUGACUGGGGGCGGGAGCUCUGAUGGGGAAGUGCAGCUGCCCUGGGUGCCUGGUCCCAGCUGGGAGACACAGGGUGUGGGGCAAGGGGUGGAGAGCACGUGCUGCUACAGCACUGCGGGCUGGGCCUUCUGGCGCUCCAGGGAAGCCCAAGUUGGGCGCCCUGGCAUAUAUGCACCGGGGGGAGUGGUGGAGAGUGAGGAAGCAGAGGUGGGAUCCCAAACCCUGGACCCUCCUCUCCCCAGGUUCGACCCGCUCGGGUGCAUGCAGCGACCAAGCAAGUCCCAGAACGCCUGUUAGAACUCAUAUGGUCUCCCCCCAUCCAGGCGCAUUUCCCGAGGGAGGAGGAAGCCCUGCCUGGGCAGUGACUAAGCCACAGGUACUCCAUGGCUUGUAGAAUUUGUAUUCAAAACAGAAACAGGAGAACUCAGAUGCUUACAAAGGUUCUGAGAAUUUCAGCUCUGUUCCUGGGCUUUUGAUUUUCAAAUCGAGCUUGCUUUCAGUUAUUCCAGGUUGGAGAACUGAUUUGGUUGCCUGGAAACAUGUUAGCAUCAGGGACGCGGAGCAUCAAAAAUGGCAGAUGCUCCACCCCAGCAUGAAGAAGAUGGGCAACAGACUCUGCCCCACGUUGGUGGCCCUCAGGGUCUGGCAUAUAAUGAACACCUGAUUGUUAGAGUGAUCUAUAUAGAAAUCCGUAGUAUCUGUAUUACAGAACAAACAUCGCUUGGUCCAGUGUUAAAGGAAUUCUAACUAAUGCAAUGCAUCCAAGUCAAAUGCUUAAGGAUAAUUAAGCUCGCAGAGAGCUGUGUCUGUUUAUGUCUUCUCAGGUCCUACAAAGGAACUGUAAAGCUGUGGAUUCCUGCGUGGAUUCCUGCGGACCUCCUUCUAAGGGUACAGUUUUAAACCUAGCAGUGGGAUCCCAAAUCCCCUUGGGCUAGAUGGCAAAAGUGACAAAGUGAUCCUGUCAGUAGGAUUAAGUAUUUACUGCUAUUAAUGAAUAGGAUUAAAGAGGAGUAAAUGCUCCAACGUGGGAAGGAGUCUGUCCCACAGACUCCUAGAGUGGCAGGUGCUGGAAGUAGCGCUCACUGACCCCCUAGUCAGCCCUCGAGGCAUCCUGGUCUGGCUGAAAAGGCCAGGAGAGCAGUUCAGGCAUGGAAACCCGGGACACUCGCGCAGAAAGCAUUCCUACAUGCGGGACCUCCCUGGGCGAGACCCCAGUGGAAAGAAGUGGUCAUCAAAGAAGGCUGUACUUUUCUCUGAAGGGAGGAGAGAACUUCCACUCUGCUUGUGGCCUUGUCUGAAUGUUGACAGAGUUUGAGGACUCAAAAGGCUUCCAUAGCCUAGGAAGCUCAUGUAGGAGCCUGGGUGCUCACUGAUUCCUGCAUUAGAGUGUUAAUUGUUAUAUCAACAGCAGGGGUCACUGUGUGCUAACUUCCCCUGCAGGACCUCUGUCCUCAGAGAGCUACAGCAUUAGCAUUAAUGGUAAAACUCGUUCCCAAAGAUUUCCCUUGUGUAGUGUGUUACACUCUUAGGUGUCAUGGGUUCUAUUUAUGUCUAAGUGCUAAAUGCCAUUGCCUGUAUUCUUAGGCAAUUCCUUAAAGUUUAUUAAGUGUCUCCAAUGUGAACUCUUCGACCCAUGUCUCUCUCUCAUAGUCCUGUCUUGUAUGUAUAACAUAGGGUGGAAUACAGAGUACUGAGUGGUUAAAGGCCUCAGGGAUACGGAGAAGACGGCCGUUUCAAUGCAUCUUGCUGUGUUGCUAAACCUUUGCAUAUGGGACAGUUUCUUCUGUAUCCCACUCAACUCAAAGUCUGGGCUAGUGAGGAUCCAGAACUUCCCAAAUCUCAGGGAUCUAAACUGGAGACUCACAAAACAGCUGAGAAUAUUUCUGGGAAUGGCAAGAUUCUGUAGAGUACGGAUCCCGUGAUGUGGACUCCACGCUUCUGUAGAUGGCUUUAAAAGGCCCUGAGGCAGACACACUGUGCUGGAGAAGGUAGCGACAAAAGUUCUAACCAAGAAUUAAGGAGCUUCUUAGAAGCUAAAACCUUGGGAAUUGCUGAUGACAGGGUUCUAUGGAAUCCGGAUUCCAGGAUUUGGAUUCUAAGACUCUGUAUGUGCUUUAAAAGGCCCUGAGGCAGACACACUGUGCUGGACGGGGAGCUGCAAAAGGAGUUCCAAGGAACGAAGGCACUGCUAACAAAAUUCCAACAUCAGGAAUUCUUGAGGAGGGCAUUCCUGGAAAGAUCUUCUUCAGGUCAGUUAUAGCUUACAUGGAAGGGACUUCACCAGGCGCUACUGAGCACGCCCACCCCAGUGAGGUUAGGAUGAAACUUCUACCUCUUAAGUCUUCUCAGGAGAAUUCCAAGACACAGCUGAUUAUUCCUGUAAGCCAAGUAGAGGCCUUCAGCAAAGAGAGUAAAGCUUUGACAGUCCUCACAUCAAGAGUGCUGCUGUCCCUUCAGACACCUGUGCCUGCCUCUCUCAAGUCUCUCUGGGAGCUGCUACUGACAUGCAAGUCCUCAUGUGUUUUUCUAUUGUAAUCCUCUAUGCUCAAGUGAAAUGGGUUUAUAAUCUGUCACCACCCACUAUGUGGGAGUCUGUAUGGUACAUUCUUUCCAUCUUACGGGGCACUGGACUCGCAAUUGGUCCUGUUCCACUUCUGUGAUGCUACUUAACAAGCUUAUCUGUUUCAGAACUUAACUUCUGGGAGUAGCUGACCAUGCAGGGGACACAGACAUUGGCAGGGACCGAGACCGCUCCAGCUCACAAAGCAAACUUGUUCGAUGAGCUAGGCAGAGACUCCCAGCCCCAGCAAGGCAGGGCCUGCACUACGCCCCUCAUAAGCAGGAAGCAGCUAUAGAAGAUGUGAUGAUUCUACAGCCUUCAGCAUCCCUUAGGAUUAAGGGACUGGAGUCUCUGAAGGGGCUGUGAUGUAGGCGGGCAUAUAGGAUUAGGUUUGUGAGCUGGAAGACCACGCCCUCAUGCCCCUACCUGACCACAUCUGUACGCCCACCUGCCAGUCAGACUAAGCUCUCCUCUUUGGGAAUGGAUUAAAGGCCUGGGGCCUGAUGGGCCUGGCUGAGUGAAAGGCUACACUACUGGCAGAGAUUUUGUCCCAUACAGACAGGGUGAUGUGGGUGAUUCUGCCCCUAGCUGGGGGAUUGCCUGCCCAGCCCAUGCAGGAGAUGAGCCUGACUGCUGGCAGGCAGCAGAAGCCACAGGCACAUUUCCCCCACCCUGGCCCUGUAAUUGCCUGUCAGGGAAAUACUUCCGGGUGUGGCCCAGGCCCAUCGGGAAGGCUCCAGUCUAUGUGACCUUCAAGCUGAUGGAGGAGCCUAGCAGGGCCAAUAUUGGCUCUAUCCUAUAGACUUAGUGUUGCCCUGAAUUAGCUACGCCCCUUCUGUCUGCCCUUUAAGAGGUGUGCCUGAUCAUUAAUAAAAUGGGUAUGUUCACUGAAA